rnacentral:rRNA from 1 species
UACGUAGGGUGCGAGCGUUACUCGGAAUUACUGGGCGUAAAGCGUGCGCAGGCGGUCUUGUAAGUCAGAUGUGAAAGCCUCGGGCUUAACCUGGGAACUGCAUUUGGGACUGCAAGGCUGGAGUACGGCAGAGGGAGGUGGAAUUCCACGUGUAGCAGUGAAAUGCGUAGAGAUGUGGAGGAACACCGAUGGCGAAGGCAGCCUCCUGGGCUAGUACUGACGCUCAUGCACGAAAGCGUGGGGAGCAAACAGG